AACGAACGCUGGCGGCAGGCUUAACGCAUGCAAGUCGAACGGGCGUAGCAAUACGUCAGUGGCAGACGGGUGAGUAACACGUGGGAACCUUCCUCGUAGUACGGAACAACUCAGGGAAACUUGAGCUAAUACCGUAUACGUCCGAGAGGAGAAAGAUUUAUCGCUAUGAGACGGGCCCGCGUACGAUUAGGUAGUUGGUGGGGUAACGGCCUACCAAGCCGACGAUCGGUAGCUGAUCUGAGAGGAUGAUCAGCCACACUGGGACUGAGACACGGCCCAGACUCCUACGGGAGGCAGCAGUGGGGAAUCUUGGACAAUGGGCGCAAGCCUGAUCCAGCCAUGCCGCGUGAGUGAAGAAGGCCUUAGGGUUGUAAAGCUCUUUUGCCAGGGACGAUAAUGACGGUACCUGGAGAAUAAGCCCCGGCAAACUUCGUGCCAGCAGCCGCCGUAACAC
rnacentral:rRNA from 1 species